AGGAUGAACGCUGGCGGCGUGCUUAACACAUGCAAGUCGAACGAUGAAGCCCAGCUUGCUGGGUGGAUUAGUGGCGAACGGGUGAGUAACACGUGAGUAACCUGCCCUUGACUCUGGGAUAAGCCUGGGAAACUGGGUCUAAUACUGGAUAUGACUUCUCAUCGCAUGGUGGGGGGUGGAAAGAUUUAUUGGUCUUGGAUGGACUCGCGGCCUAUCAGCUUGUUGGUGAGGUAAUGGCUCACCAAGGCGACGACGGGUAGCCGGCCUGAGAGGGUGACCGGCCACACUGGGACUGAGACACGGCCCAGACUCCUACGGGAGGCAGCAGUGGGGAAUAUUGCACAAUGGGCGCAAGCCUGAUGCAGCGACGCCGCGUGAGGGAUGACGGCCUUCGGGUUGUAAACCUCUUUCAGUAGGGAAGAAGCGAGAGUGACGGUACCUGCAGAAGAAGCGCCGGCUAACUACGUGCCAGCAGCCGCGGUAAUACGUAGGGCGCGAGCGUUAUCCGGAAUUAUUGGGCGUAAAGAGCUCGUAGGCGGUUUGUCGCGUCUGCCGUGAAAGUCCGGGGCUUAACUCCGGAUCUGCGGUGGGUACGGGCAGACUAGAGUGCAGUAGGGGAGACUGGAAUUCCUGGUGUAGCGGUGAAAUGCGCAGAUAUCAGGAGGAACACCGAUGGCGAAGGCAGGUCUCUGGGCUGUAA
rnacentral:rRNA from 1 species